UACGGGGGGUGCGAGCGUUGUCCGGAAUCACUGGGCGUAAAGGGCGCGUAGGUGGUCUGAUAAGGGUGUGGUGAAAGCCCGGGGCUCAACCCCGGGUCGGCCGUGCCGACUGUUAGACUAGAGUACUGUAGGGGCAGGCGGAAUUCCGGGUGUAGCGUUGGAAUGCGUAGAGAUCCGGAGGAAGACCGGUGGCGAAGGCGGCCUGCUGGGCAGUUACUGACACUGAGGCGCGACAGCGUGGGGAGCAAACAGG
rnacentral:rRNA from 1 species